rnacentral:misc_RNA from 1 species
GAUGAAGAACGUAGCGAAAUGCGAUAAGUAAUGUGAAUUGCAGAAUUCAGUGAAUCAUCGAGUCUUUGAACGCACAUUGCGCCCCCUGGUAUUCCGGGGGGCAUGCCUGUCCGAGCGUCAUUGCUGCCCUCAAGCACGGCUUGUGUGUUGGGCCCCCGUCCCCGGUUUCCCCCGGGGACGGGCCCGAAAGGCAGCGGCGGCACCGCGUCCGGUCCUCGAGCGUAUGGGGCUUUGUCACCCGCUCUGUAGGCCCGGCCGGCGCCAGCCGACACCCAACUUUAUUUCUAAGGUUGACCUCGGAUCAGGUAGGUAUACCCGCUGAACUUAAGCAUAUCAAUAAGCGGAGGA